rnacentral:sRNA from 1 species
GAUGAAGGUCAGCAAAAAAGGGAAAGGCGGAGAAAGUCUCAAGCCUUUGAUAUACAUAGGAGAGUUUUGGGCAGCCCAUCUACUGCAUCGCCCAGUUCAACAGAGCUGAAUGGGUUAACUAGUGCAGAACUUGCCAGCAACUAUGCCAAUUGCAUCAAAUUAUCCACAGAAAACAAAAUUACCUCAAAAAAUGCCUUUGGUUUGCAUCUCAUUGAUUACAUCACAGAGUUAUUGAAAAAGAAAAAGCUAGACAAUUUCCAGGUA